CUGAUUUAUUUUCAGCAAUUUUUUGACAUCAUAUAUUUUAAGGACCUAAUGUGGAUUCCUCUUUGGAAUCUCUUGCUUUUCUCACAGAUGCUCAGUUCUUAGAUGGCAUGUGCUGGCCACUUUUUAUCUAAUUAUCACAGCUUUACGUAGUAAAUGGGAGUAUAAAAAUGACUGGCCAAGAUAAUGAAGAGAGCAGGAGAACCCACAGUUCAUGUACUUAAGAGCAUGCACACAACACUGAGCACAUCCUACAUGGACAGAGAUACGGAAGAAAGGCUAACGUUUUCUACAUCAUUAAACAAAUUCAAAGGAGAGUAAGAAGGUCUUAACAGACACAAACAUUCACUUGUACUAAAUCCAAUACUUUUAAAGGUCAUCUGCAGCUCCGUCACUAUAUCAUUUAUUUUAAGGUCUACUGUGGAGUGGCCUGGUGAUGUUAACCAGAUUACCUUGUUCCAUGUUGAGUGAGACAAGAAAACUACUGUGCACCAGAAAGAAAGGAAAAGCAAUCGCUGAAUGAAGACAUCAAUGUUUCCAGGAACUGGAACUUUACAGCUCUUGUCUGCCAACUCUCAGUGCCUUCAGUAACAUUCUAUCAGCAGGUGCUGUUUGUGACACCAACCCCUCUCUACUAUUUUGCCAUGUUGGACCAUGCAGGAAAAUACGUGGUUUUAAGAAACGUUAUUUGAG